UUUGCAACCAGCGCAUCGGAAGGAAACAGCAGCAGCAGCAAAGCGAUCAACAGCGGACUGGAAUCAGCGAGCCGAGCGAUUGGACUCGGAGCCCUUGGCGGUAAAUAGAAACGAGCGGACUGUCGGCGAGUGGUAGCCAUCGAACCGGGUGAAAGGUCUCGGAGCACACGAGUGUUCUGCGUGGUUGUGCAACGGCCCAGCGAUUAGUCUCGUCUGUGUCCGGGGCUCGCAAAAAUUCGGCGAGAAUGCAGAGUUACGACAGUCUAUGCAAAGAAGAAGCGUAUGGUAUGUUGUUAUAUGGUCAGCUGGUGAUAAUCAAACGGUACAACCUAAGAACCCCGCACCGUCUACGCAACCCAUUUUGAUCAAGGGAAUCCGCAGAUGAAACGCGCAUUUUCAUCUUAACGUUAGCAUCAUUAACACAUCACAGUGUUCUGAGAAAAAAUAACUCUUCGAUAGUUUUGAUUCCCCGCUUCCACCUCGUAAUAGGUUGAAAUAUUUUGUUCUCUACUAGCUUACGUGUGCUUUGACUUGCGAAGGUUCAUACAAGUCGGGUUCUUGGGAUCUGCCAUAUGUAACCGUAUAGUACAGCCAGCCAGAAUUCCGGUUCGUUUUCCGGCUGGACUUUUCAACAGCCUAUGCGAGAUCGUGUAUGCGUGGAAAUAUUUGGUUUAACGCAUAGUGAUAAACUUAUCAAACCCAAAUGGAAAAUCCUGCUCAAUUUCGAAUGUCAUGUAUAUUGAUAUUAAAUCAUGUAAGUGCAUGGAACCAAAUAAAGUAGACGAAUCGCAAAUGCCAUAUUA